ACACGUAGGAGGCAAACGUUAUCCGGAUUUACUGGGCGUAAAGCGCGUGUAGGUGGUUCUGUAAGUAGGGCGUGAAAGCUCCCGGCUCAACUGGGAGAGGCCGUUCUAAACUGCAGAGCUAGAGGAUGGUAGAGGGAGGUGGAAUUCCAGGUGUAGCGGUGGAAUGCGCAGAUAUCUGGAGGAACACCAGUGGCGAAAGCGGCCUCCUGGACCAUUCCUGACACUCAGACGCGAAAGCUAGGGUAGCAAACGGGAUUAGAGACCCCGGUAGUCCUAGCCCUAAACGAUGUAGACUAGACGUCGGCGGUGUAAUAGCUGUCGGUGUCCAAGCUAACGCGAUAAGUCUACCGCCUGGGGACUACGGCCGCAAGGUUAAA
rnacentral:rRNA from 1 species